rnacentral:rRNA from 1 species
UACGUAGGGUGCGAGCGUUAACCGGAAUUACUGGGCGUAAAGCGCGCGCAGGCGGCUUUGCAAGACAGAUGUGAAAUCCCCGGGCUCAACCUGGGAACUGCAUUUGUGACUGCAAGGCUAGAGUACGGCAGAGGGGGGUGGAAUUCCGCGUGUAGCAGUGAAAUGCGUAGAUAUGCGGAGGAACACCAAUGGCGAAGGCAAUCCCCUGGGCCUGUACUGACGCUCAUGCACGAAAGCGUGGGGAGCAAACAGG